rnacentral:rRNA from 1 species
CCUACGGGAGGCAGCAGUAGGGAGUUUUCGGCAAUGGGGGGAACCCUGACCGAGCAGCGCCGCGUGAACGAAGAAGGUCUUCGGAUUGUAAAGUUCUGUUGUAGGGGAAUAAAGGUCGGAAGAAGAGAAUGUUUCCGAUUUGAAGGUACCCUGCCAGAAAGCCACGGCUAACUACGUGCCAGCAGCCGCGGUAAUACGUAGGUGGCAAGCGUUAUCCGGAAUUAUUGGGCGUAAAGAGUGAGCAGGCGGCCUUUUAAGUCUGAAGUCAAAUGCAGUGGCUCAACCACUGUCCGCUUUGGAAACUGAGAGGCUAGAGUACGAGAGAGGUAUAUGGAAUUCCAUGUGGAGCGGUGAAAUGCGUAGAUAUAUGGAGGAACACCAGUGGCGAAGGCGAUAUACUGGAUCGAUACUGACGCUCAGUCACGAAAGCGUGGGUAGCAAAUAGGAUUAGAUACCCUAGUAGUCCACGCCGUAAACGCUGAGAACUAAGUGUUGGGGUGAAACCCAGCGCUGAAGCUAACGCAUUAAGUUCUCCGCCCGAGAAGUACGGUCGCAAGACUGAAACUUAAAGGAAUUGACGGGGGCCCGCACAAGCAGUGGAGCAUGUGGUUUAAUUCGAUGAUACGCGAAGAACCUUACCAGGGCUUGACAUAGUUCUAAGACUCUAGAAAUAGAGGGAUAUACAGAACAUACAGGUGGUGCAUGGUUGUCGUCAGCUCGUGUCGUGAGAUGUUAGGUUAAGUCCUCCAACGAGCGCAACCCUUGUCCUUAGUUACCAUCAUUAAGUUGGGGACUUUAAGGAGACUGCCGGUGUAAGCCGG